CUGUGAAACCAUGGGAGACACCGUACACAGUUUUCCUUUAGCCGUCGUCCGCCAGAGCCCAAAGCCGCUUUCCCCUCCUCUUCUUCUUCUCCCCCGUUAAAACCGCCAGCACAGCGGCAGGCAGAUCGGAAACCGGAACUCGAUCCGCGAGGAGCGUGAAAAAUGGCGGAGGAGAAGGGCGCGCUGCAGUCGAUGAGGCAGUGGGUGGUGGAGCACAAGCUCCGGGCCGUCGGGUCGCUGUGGCUGGCGGGGAUCGCGGGGUCGAUCGCCUACAACUGGUCCAGGCCCGGGAUGAAGACCAGCGUGAAGCUCAUCCACGCCAGGCUUCAUGCUCAGGCCCUUACCCUGGCUGCUUUAGGUGGGUCUGCACUGGUGGAGUACUACGAUCAUCAGUCAGGGUCAGGAUCAAGAGUUCACCAAUAUGCGAAGCAGUUCCUCCCACCUGACAGCAACCCCAAAAAAGACUAGGAUCUACUGUGUAGAAGAGGCAGCAAAUUACAGCCACCGGCUGAUAUGGAAUGCAUUGAUGUUAUUUCCUGAGCAAACAAUCUGUCAGUCUGUGUGCCGUUAUUGGAAUUCCUCGUGCUGCCUAUUUUCUGUGUAAGCUACUGAACCAGCAUUCCGGUGCCGCGAUAUGCAGAUAUGCAUGGUAAUGGAACAAUGUAUUUUCCUGAACCAAACAUGAAUGCUGAAAUGGAUGAAAAAAUUCCCUCUUUCUACCGA